rnacentral:rRNA from 1 species
AUUGAACGCUGGCGGCAUGCCUUACACAUGCAAGUCGAACGGCAGCGGGGACUUCGGUCCGCCGGCGAGUGGCGAACGGGUGAGUAAUGUAUCGGAACGUACCAUUCAGUGGGGGAUAACUAUCCGAAAGGAUAGCUAAUACCGCAUAUUCUGUGAGCAGGAAAGCAGGGGAUCGCAAGACCUUGCGCUGAUUGAGCGGCCGAUAUCAGAUUAGCUAGUUGGUGAGGUAACGGCUCACCAAGGCUACGAUCUGUAGCGGGUCUGAGAGGAUGAUCGGCCACACUGGGACUGAGACAAGGCCCAGACUCCUACGGGAGGCAGCAGUGGGGAAUUUUGGACAAUGGGCGCAAGCCUGAUCCAGCCAUGCCGCGUGAGUGAAGAAGGCCUUCGGGUUGUAAAGCUCUUUCGGCCGGGAAGAAAUCGCAUCAGCUAAUACCUGGUGUGGAUGACGGUACCGGAAUAAGAAGCACCGGCUAACUACGUGCCGGCAGCCGCGGUAACAC